AUCACCAUAAAGCAAGUCAAAUGAAGUGCUAGGUUUCCCAGGGCAUAGAAAAGAUUUACGCUAUGCUGUAGUCUGUUCGGUGUGCAUUAGCAUUAUGUCUAAAAACACAGUGGACAUACCUUAUUUUCAAAAUAUGCAGCUAGUAGGAGCACGGGGGGGUUUGCGUCCAGGUCACUUUGCCUGGGACAGACCUGGCAAGUUGCUAACAGCACCCCCUUCCAUGCCCCAGGGUGUCUCUGUUCAGAUACCAAGUUGUGUGUUCACACGGGCUGACACCCACAGUGCUGUUGCCUACUAGCAUAGCCUCACAGGAAGCCCAUGUGCAGGUGACAGGAAGGAGGCAGGCCUGCGCAGCGUGGGGGCUUGGCCUGCUGCCUCCCCGCCUCUCUGCCCCCCUCUCCCUGCCUCUGUUCCUCCAGCCUCCCUGCCUCCCACCUCCCUUCCUCCAGCCUCCCUGCAUCCUGUCCCCCAGCCCUCCUGCCUCCAGCCUCUAGCCUGCACAUGUAGGGAGGGGCAGUCCUGCAGCCAAGCCAUGCUGUGUGCCCCGAGCCUGUGCUACUGAGGAAGCCAUUUCUUCAGCCUGUACUACUGAGGAAUAGAAAAUUGUAAGUACAUUUGGCACUGAAGUGAAGAUUUAUUUAGAGCGAGACAAGAAAUGACAGCUAAUUGCAAGUUUCCACAGUAUCACAGCAUCAUCAAACCCCAAAAAAGAAACCUCUACCGUAUUUUUGUCCUGCAUUUUGGGGAUGCAUUCCCUGUGAUGACCUUCCUCCACCUAUAGUAUGAUACAUCAAGACGCCGGGAAGAAGUUCCAGACACCAAUGCCCAGCUCCUCACAUGGCCCACCUGUUUCUUUCCACCCCCACAUGUUGCCUGUGUGGGUCGCUGUUGAGCACGUUCAUACUGCGUCUGCACCAUCGUGUGGUGCCCUGUGGGUGAAGAUGGCACCAGUGCAGGUAAGAGGGUUUCUGAAGACCAUUCCUACACCAGGACAGGUAGAAAUCGCUUAACUAUGCUAAGAAGAGACUAAAAACCACGUAACAUCCUAAACCCAAACAAACCCUGUCCUCAAUUCGAAUCCCCCUUAUCCACGCCUAUUCCCAUUUCCGAUGUCCACAGACACGGGGAAGUGUGGAGGGGGGAGGGCGAUAUUCAGGAUGGAAGAGAUAGUAACUUUAACAAUCGCAAAUUGUAAACCUGCCUGGAGCUUGCCCUUGUCUUCCCCUUCCCCAUGCCUCUCCAGUCCGAGCACUUGAGUCCUCUGGAAAUGUACUAGAUUGCUGAUGCAUUCAGGAAGUACUUUCUGAACAUCUACUUAUCCUAGGCACUGUGAUUAGCACUGGAGUACAGCCAGGAUGUUGGAAAAGUUCUCCACCUGGAACUUUCUGGGCUGCUUCGCACUGAAGUUGGUUUCCUAGCCUGGCAUCAGUCCUGAGACAAAGCCGUCAGACUCACAAAGCUGCUCAGGGGGUUGUGAGCUGGAGAGAAACUUCCGCCUAUCAGAGGCCCUUUUGUCCCCUCCUCCUCCCAAUCCAGCCCCAACCAAUCACUUAGCAAUUUCUGGGAUCAAACCUCCUUAUCACUUAGAGGCACCGUCUUAAGAUUACUACAGGCUCCAAGGAAGGUCCUUUUUGAAAAUCUUCAGGAGAACGUCUAUCAAUUAAAAGAUUAAAAUUGAUACUGAAUUUCUGGUAUGUCUAACAAGGAGAAGAAUUCGUCAGAUCUACUCGUCACACAUUUGAAGGAGACAAAAUAUAAAAAGAACUAAAUUGGCACAAAACUUCCUUUCAGAAACUGAGCUAGCAUUACCGAAAAGAGCAAAGUCCACUAAGCUCAUUCAUUGGCUUAUGAAAUUGUAGCCUAGUGGCUUACAUCCAACCCCAGGCCUCUCUUAGUCCUGCCUUCUACUUGGGAAAAUUUAUAUGCAAUAAAGAUCUGAAUACCUAGUGAAA